GACGUAGGGGACGAGCGUUGUCCGGAUUUAUUGGGCGUAAAGCGCGCGCAGGCGGCCACGUAAGUCGGAUGUGAAAUCCCGGGGCUCAACCCCGGAACUGCAUUCGAUACUGCGUGGCUCGAGGUAGGUAGGGGAGAUCGGAAUUCCUGGUGUAGCGGUGGAAUGCGCAGAUAUCAGGAGGAACACCGGUGGCGAAGGCGGGUCUCUGGACAGUUCCUGAUACUGAGGCACGAAGGCCAGGGGAGCAAACGGG
rnacentral:rRNA from 1 species